AUUGAACGCUGGCGGCAUGCCUUACACAUGCAAGUCGAACGGCAGCACGGGUGCUUGCACCUGGUGGCGAGUGGCGAACGGGUGAGUAAUACAUCGGAACAUGUCCUGUAGUGGGGGAUAGCCCGGCGAAAGCCGGAUUAAUACCGCAUACGAUCUACGGAUGAAAGCGGGGGACCUUCGGGCCUCGCGCUAUAGGGUUGGCCGAUGGCUGAUUAGCUAGUUGGUGGGGUAAAGGCCUACCAAGGCGACGAUCAGUAGCUGGUCUGAGAGGACGACCAGCCAACCUGGGGCCGGGACCAGGCCCAGACCCCGACGGGGGGGAGCAGGGGGGAAUUUUGGGCAAAGGGCGAAAGCCUUAUCCAACAAUGCCGCGUUUUGGAAAAAGGCCUUCGGGUUGGAAAACACUUUUUUCCGGAAAAAAAUCCUUGGCCCUAAUUCCGUCGGGGGAUGGCGGUACCGGAAAAAGAGGCCCCGGCCAACCACU
rnacentral:rRNA from 1 species